rnacentral:rRNA from 1 species
GGCUAACGGGGUAGUAAGGCAUCGGAACGUACCUUUUCGUCUGGGAUAGCCAUGGGAAACUGUGAGUAAUACCGGAUAAUAUCUUCGGAUCAAAGGUUUACUGCGAUUAGAGCGGCCGAUGUGAGACUAGGUAGUUGGUAGGGUAAUGGCCUACCAAGCCAGAGAUCUCUAGGGGGUGUGAGAGCAUGACCCCCACCACUGGAACUGAGACACUGUCCAGACACCUACGGGUGGCUGCAGUCGAGAAUCUUCGGCAAUGGGCGAAAGCCUGACCGAGCGACGCUGCGUGCGGGAUGAAGGCCCUUGGGUUGUAAACCGCUGUCAGAGGGGAUCAAAGGAAACUUGAGAGAGCCUCAGAGGAAGCGCGGGCUAAGUUCGUGCCAGCAGCCGCGGUAAUACGAACUGCGCAAACGUUAUUCGGAAUCACUGGGCUUACAGGGUGCGUAGGCGGUUCGCCAGGUCAGAUGUGAAAUCCCACAGCUCAACUGUGGAACUGCAUUUGAAACCUGCGAACUUGAGUAGACUAGAGGUACACGGAACUUCAGGUGGAGCGGUGAAAUGUGUUGAGAUCUGAAGGAACACCAGAGGCGAAAGCGGUGUACUGGAGUCUGUCUGACGCUGAGGCACGAAAGCUAGGGGAGCGAACGGGAUUAGAUACCCCGGUAGUCCUAGCCGUAAA